AUUGAACGCUGGCGGCAGGCCUAACACAUGCAAGUCGAGCGGAUGAAGGGAGCUUGCUCCUGGAUUCAGCGGCGGACGGGUGAGUAAUGCCUAGUAAUCUGCCUGGUAGUGGGGGAUAACGUCCGGAAACGGGCGCUAAUACCGCAUACGUCCUGAGGGAGAAUGUGGGGGAUCUUCGGACCUCACGCUAUCAGAUGAGCCUAGGUCGGAUUAGCUAGUUGGUGGGGUAAAGGCCUACCAAGGCGACGAUCCGUAACUGGUCUGAGAGGAUGAUCAGUCACACUGGAACUGAGACAAGGUCCAGACUCCUACGGGAGGCAGCAGUGGGGAAUAUUGGACAAUGGGCGAAAGCCUGAUCCAGCCAUGCCGCGUGUGUGAAGAAGGUCUUCGGAUUGUAAAGCACUUUAAGUUGGGAGGAAGGGCAGUAAGUUAAUACCUUGCUGUUUUGAAGUUACCAACAGAAUAAGCACCGGCUAACUUCGUG
rnacentral:rRNA from 1 species